rnacentral:rRNA from 1 species
UACAGAGGGUGCAAGCGUUAAUCGGAAUUACUGGGCGUAAAGCGCGCGUAGGUGGUUCGUUAAGGUGGAUGUGAAAUCCCCGGGCUCAACCUGGGAACUGCAUCCAAAACUGGCGAGCUAGAGUAUGGUAGAGGGUGGUGGAAUUUCCUGUGUAGCGGUGAAAUGCGUAGAUAUAGGAAGGAACCCCAGUGGCGAAGGCGACCACCUGGACUGAUACUGACACUGAGGUGCGAAAGCGUGGGGAGCAAACAGG